rfam:Papio anubis isolate 1X1155 chromosome 10, whole genome shotgun sequence.
UCCCUGAUUGUCUAGUGGUUAGAAUUCGGCACUCUCACUGCCACAGCCCAGGUUCAAUUCCCUGUCAGAGAA